rnacentral:rRNA from 1 species
GACGAACGCUGGCGGCGUGCUUAACACAUGCAAGUCGAACGGAAAGGCCCUGCUUGCAGGGUACUCGAGUGGCGAACGGGUGAGUAACACGUGGGUGAUCUGCCCUGCACUUCGGGAUAAGCCUGGUAAACUGGGUCUAAUACCGGAUAGGAGCCAUUUUUAGUGUGAUGGUUGGAAAGUUUUUUGCGGUGUAGGAUGAGCUCGCGGCCUAUCAGCUUGUUGGUGGGGUAAUGGCCUACCAAGGCGGCGACGGGUAGCCGGCCUGAGAGGGUGGACGGCCACAUUGGGACUGAGAUACGGCCCAGACUCCUACGGGAGGCAGCAGUGGGGAAUAUUGCACAAUGGGCGCAAGCCUGAUGCAGCGACGCCGCGUGGGGGAUGACGGCCUUCGGGUUGUAAACUCCUUUCGCUAGGGACGAAGCUUUUUGUGACGGUACCUAGAUAAGAAGCACCGGCUAACUACGUG